rnacentral:misc_RNA from 1 species
UGGAUUUGGAAUAUAGAUUCUGCGAAGAAAAAUCGGCAAGAAAGUCCGUAGUUACUCUUUUGAAAAUAUAUACAGAUUUAUAUAAAACUGUGUUUUAGUUCAAAAUUAGUAAUAUCUUGCAUGAAAUACAGCGUCCCUAAAUCCACAUAUAUUUAUCAACUAUGUAAUUCCUGCACAGAAUAAUACGCUUUAUCUAUCAAUGUCCUUUUAAUAAAAACUUUAAAUAUAUUUUGAAACAAAUGUAUGGUAUGAU